AACCAUUCAUCUUCUUAUUUCUUGCGUGAGCUCUUUCUCUCUUUUCUCCCAUGGUAGCUUGAAACCCCUCUUAGCAACACACUACAACUCGCCUCUUUCUCUCAAAAUUCUCUUCUCAACAGGCAUCAAUAAACAUGUUCAACUUCUAUUUUUCUUACCUUCCCAAGCUAAACGAAAUUAGCUCAAAACCCCCCAAAAUUCCAACUUCUUUAAUUUCUAGUUGCAUGUGCAAUUAACUUCACAAAUUGAGACUUUUGAGUGUUGGGAACUAAGGUAAGAGGAGUUAAAAUUCAGCUAAUCCCUUCCACUUUUAUCAGAUUCGAACUCACCCUCACCACCUUGACCAAAGAUCUAAAUUCUCCAUUCCUCUUGUGAUGAUGCUUUUCAUGUGCAAAUCCCUACCCAAAUUCGUGUACUGGAGCUAAGAUAAGCAGAUUAAACAAGACAGGGGUAAGAAGAAACUAAGGAUUGAAGAUGGAAGAUUUUAUUACAUUAGUUUCUUCCUUGUGUUGUUAGAUUAGUCUGAUAGAUAUGACUGAUGAGUAUUUACCGUUGUGUAAUGGAAUUAUAUUGAAAAUAAUUGUGAAAUGAAUAUUUAUAUGUUUAUGUAAUUGAUCAACUGUCAAGACAAAGGAUAUUAGUACUACCCUAGGAUAGGCGGGACUCACUGAGGCUUUAUGUCUCAUCCCACUCUUUUGUAUUUUUUUCAGAUAAGCAGAUUAAACAAGACAGGGGUAAGAAGAAACUAAGGAUUGAAGAUGGAAGAUUUUAUUACAUUAGUUUCUUCCUUGUGUUGUUAGAUUAGUCUGAUAGAUAUGACUGAUGAGUAUUUACCGUUGUGUAAUGGAACUUUCUUUUCCUUGUAUCUGAUAUAGAAUUUACAAAGACACGAAACCCUAAAAGACUACAUCUUUGAUGAA